GUAGUCCCCGCGCUCUCACUGCGACAGAGUUCAGUCAGUCGGUCGGACGCUUCCACCGAGGACACGCGCGCGCAUGCAUGCAGAACGACAUAUCAACCCUUAGCGAAAACGCAUACGCAUAUAAAUACAUACGUACAUAUAUACAUACUAUAUAAAUACUAUUCUUGAAAAUCGGGGCACAUGGGCAUGGACUGACGCACGAGGGAUGCAGAAAGCACGGUGACGUUUGUACCUGGGCAAUAUGUUCCUUCCUCCAGUAGUACGCUCACGGAGGUCGCUGAAAUAGAAGAUCGUGGUUUUGCUGAUUGUUAAACUUCGAUAUACCUCGUUCAAGACUUGGAUAUCUUUUCCUGUAAAAGAAUAAAAAGAAGAAGAAGAAGAAGAAGAAGAAGAAGAAGAAGAAAAAGAAGAAAAAGAGGAGGAAGAAGAAGAAAAAGGAAAAAGAAAAAGAAAAAGAGAAACGACGAUGAAAAUGAGGAUACCUUCGAAAUUACGAGCCAACAUUCUCCUUGGCUGGAUCUUUUAUCUCUUUACGUUCCUUCUCCUUCCAUCGCGGACAAGUGCGCUCGAGGAGAACUGUACGGAUUUUCAAGGUGGAACAGUUAGACACGGACUGCUCUAUGUGCCAGGACCUGCGGUUUGUAGUUUGUGCGUCUGUUAUCAUUCGGAGCCGAUGUGGUGCCAAGCUAUAUACUGUACACCUCCAUACUUUUAGGAUUUUUCGAGGGGAAAAAAAGAAAACAAGAAAAGAGGGAAAGAAUGGAGAUAAAAUCAAAAUGAUUUUUUAAACGGAAGAAAAUUCACGAACGAUAAAAUGAUUCCGGUGUACCAAAUGGUUCUAACGCAGGGCUUUCAAAUAAAUCGAUUUAUAUCCAUGCGAAGCUCGUAUAAAACAAAAGGAUUCUUAUAUUUGCGAGAAUAUUUUUUACCUGAUAAAUCAAUUAUCGUAAUCGCUCAACUACACACAUAUAUACUAUGUUUUAUAUAUAUAUAUAUAUAUACACAUACUAUGUUAUAUAUAUAUACAUAUACACAUUUUAUUAUUCAGCUCAAUAUCAACAGAAGAGUAAAAUUUCCUUUAUUCUCUUAUAUCUGUUUGUCUAAUGCGUUAUUACGAGAUAAUAACAGAAUAUGUACGCAGGUAAUUAAAAAUGUACACAUCAUAACAGUUACUUAUUAGUUUUAAUGGAUUUCUAUUUCAUGUAAUACCUACAUGAUAUUUUCUUAUUUUUAUCUACGAUUUAUUUUUAAUAAAUUUAAGAGAUUAUUAUCGGCGAGUCAAAUUAUAAAAGAGAAAAGUAAAAUAAUAAUAAUAAUAAUAAUUACGUAUCUGUAAUUUUAUAAUAAAAAAAAAAAAAAAGGACGAAAAUAGUAAGGAUGAAUUAAAACGGAAUAUAAAAUGAAUUUUAAAUGGAAUUAAUAUUUCAGUCUUAAUCUUCUCAUGACAAAUUUAUUUCUCUUAGAAUACUUAAUAACCUUAGGAUUCUAAACGUUCGAUCGUUUCUCCAUACACCUUCCGGAGUAAUACGGAAUAGUGUUUGAAUUAGAGCAACAUGGUGUGUGUUGUGUGUUUGUGUACAUACGUACGUACGUACGUACGUACAUACAUACAUAUGUAUGUACGUAUACAGGCUUAUGAAUAUUGAUAAUAAAAUAGAAUAUUAAAAACAGACCGACGAACUCGACGAGCCGUCCUUUCGGUCACGUUCGAUAUAUUUCAUUUGAAGCAGAGUAUAGUCAGCAAUAACGAUGCGAGUUUUAUCAUAAAACGCGCGUGUGGCUCUUGCUCAUUUUUCCCUCUUCGAUCGCAACCUGGCAUGAUUUUCUACGAUAAAAAGAAAGGUAAAAAAGGAAAAAAAAAAGGAAAUACCCACUCUUGCCGAGGUCAGUAUCGAGUACCUACUAUGCAAAAUCGUUAAACCGUUUACUCUACUUACCUUUCGUUUUGCGUUUCUGUUAUUUUUUUUUAUUUAUUUUUUUCCUGUAUUUUUCUUUUCCUUUUUUCUUUGCAUUUCUCUAUUCGAUUGAACGACGCUUCGUUGUACGUAGUAAAUCAUUUAAAUAAGAGGAAAUGGUCCCUAUCGUUAAGAAAGUCAGUUUAGGAGGUAAAAUUGUAACUCUUAUUAACGCGUCACAUUCGAGCGGAAAAGUUCUGCACACCGCGAAAUGCCACAUCGUUUGUUGGAAAUUAAGUUCAGGGACAGAACGUUUCGCGGGCGUUUUUUCCUUUUCUUUUCUCUCUCUCUCUCUCUCUCUCUCUCUCUCUCUAUCUAUCUAUCUCGCUCGUUCUCGGUACUUUCUUUUUGCGUUUUUAAUCGCUCGCAAGCACGUAGGUAUAUAUGUAUAUAAAUAUAUAUCUUGGUAGAAGGAGUGUCGCGCUUCCAGUUGAGAAAAUGCAAAACUCGACAACAUCAGGUUCGUUAUGUUAGUAUAUUUACGUAUGUAUAGGUGUAGAUAUAUUUUAUAUAUAUAUAUAUAUAUAUAUAUAUAUAUAUAUAUAUAUAUAUAUAUUGUACAUGAUGAACGAUACGUAUAUAAAAAAUUGGAAAAAUACGAUUAUUAAAAUUCAUUAAAUUUAUAAAAAAUUUUAUAUUUCAAUACAACGAACAUGGUAAUGAAUAUUUUAGUAAUAUAUUUAAUUAAAAGUCAUCACGGCAUAUACAUACAUAAAUAAUAGAAUAUAUACGUAUUGCGUGACAUACGAAUAGAAAUAAAUGUGUGCAACUAUUUGCAGAAAAAAAAAAAAAAACAGAAAAAGGAAAAAAAGAGAUUUUACGUUACACGUCCUGUUCCGUGUGAUAUCGGCCUCGGAAUGUCAGAGCUCAUACAUAAAUUGCUUGUUAGCUCGUUAACGAAUAAAAUUUAAUUCGAGUUGCGUCCUCACGAAAGCUUUUCAUUAUCCUACAGGAUAAAUUUAGAGCAACAAUGAAUUUUACAGAAUGACCCACCUAUUUUUGGACUAGGUUAAUCGACGAGACAACGAUUUUAAUGUCUCGACGAUGCCAUUGGUUGAUAUAAUUCUUUUUUUUUUAUUUCUAUUUGUUUUUUCUACUUCAUUCGUUUUUAUUCUUUCGAAUCUUUAAUUUUGUUGAAGUUAGAAAAAUUUCAUGAUCCAAUUAGAACAUGAUUAUAUAUAUUUAUUUAUAUAAAUUUGUAUUACAAAUUUAUAUCAUAUAUAUUUAUUGAUAUAAAUUCGUUGAUAGGUACUUUCAUUAUAGAUAAAAUAUCGCUAAAAUAAUUAUAAUAUAUAAAUUGCGAAAUAAUAAUGAUUCGUCGAUCAAAGAUUCUUUUUUAAACGUUCCCGUUAAUGUCAAAGAAGGUAUACCUAUGUACAUGAGGUUUCUUUUAAAAUCGUUCAAAAGUGGAUUACGUACAUAUGUACGUUGUUUACAUGAAAUGCGUUACGGUAUGGCUACGUAAUCCGUAGAAUAAUAUUCUUACGAUAGGAUUACUCGACGCGAACAGAAAGUAGGUAUAAUAUGAUCAAUCUAAUCAGUUCGGUGAAGCCUAACAUUUAACUUUAUCACGAACGUCCGUGACUUUUUUCAUCGUUCGUAUAAUUAAGAUACAACAACUAAGAUGUCGAUAUUACAAAUACAAUUUAUUUCUUAAUUUCGUGUAUUUAAUCCAUAUUCUCUCUCUCUCUCUCUCUCUCUCUCUCUUUCUCAUUUAAUUUUAUAGGAUUUAAAAUUUCUACAAUCAUUCUGUAAACUUAUUUCAUCGAUGUAAUAAUCGUUAUAAUCAUAGCAAGUUCCUCUUUCUAAAUAGAAAAUAAGAUUAUUUAUGAUUUGUGCUAAUGUCGUUCCCGAGGAGGAGUUUAAGACGAUUGGUAAUCGCUUUAUUGAAUUUUCUCUUAAUGUGACAUCUUCGAGUCCUCGUAUAAUAAGAUGUUCUCAUCCAAUGUAAAUCCAUUUAACAGUCAAUGAAAAGAAAGAAAAAAGAAAAGGAAGAAAAUAGUUUUUUCUUCGACCUUCAAAGACAUUCUAAUAUCGUUUAUCAUCUUUCUUUCGUAUUGUCGUUUAAUUGAUAUUAUCACUCUUAUUGGAACGAAAUUCCAUAAAAGUGAUAUACCGUGAAUAACGAUGAUACGAGAGGUCCUCGUUAAAAUUUGAACAAAAAAAAAAUAGAAGAAAAAAAAGGGGGGAGAGAGAGAGAGAGAGAGAGAGAGAGAAAGAGAGAGAGAGAGAGGAUUGUACUUUAAUUAUUUAGUUUUUACGAAUUCGCAGAUAGACGAAUUUUUUCGUUUGUAUUCCCUCUUCUAUUUCUUUCAUAUCUCUCAACUAAUUUUAUAUAUCAAAAGCACUAAAUCUGAUAAAAAAGUACAAAGAUUAUUUUCAAACUGGCAUUAUCAAAAAAUAUUAAAUUUAUUUGUUAGAAAAUUUGUCGACUUUAUAACUACUUGAUUCUCUUUUUGUUCUAUAAUUUUCUAUCAUUUUCUUUUGUUUUGUCUGAUAUAUUUAAUCUUUUCUCUGAUUAAUGAACUUUCUAAAAGCAUGUUUUCAAAUUUAUUAUAUUUCAUGAAAACUUUUAGAUCCGUUUUUAAAAUAAAAUGAUAACGAAUAUAUGAAAAUAAUUCGUUUAAUGUUGUAGUAUAAAGGUAAAUAAAAGAAAGUAACAUGUAAAUUCCGUAGAAAUAUUUUGAUGCUUUGUGCUAAAAUAACAACAUUAAUAACGACAACAACAACAACAACAACAACAACAACAACAACAACAACAACAAUAACAACAACAAUAAUAAUGAUAAUAAUAAAAUAAUAAUAAUAACGAGGAAUAAACUCUGUGCGUUACAAUUUUCGUAUACAAUGUACGCUCUCUGUUUAUUUUAUUUCGUUAUAUAAUAUUACGAGAGUUCAUUUGAUACGUUUUCAUUUCUAUGUUCCGGAAUGACGACGGAACACUCUGAAGAUGAAAGAAUUAUUCGAUUUAAUACAGAACUCAUUUUCGUAAAAAUAAAAAGAUAACGAAAGGAGUCACUUUUAUUUCUUUUUUGAUUUGUUAAUGCAAUUUUCUAAUGUGUCGUAAAAAAGAAUUUAAGAAAAUGAAAAGAAAAAGGAAAAAAAAUAAGAAAGAAAUAAAAGAAAAAAAAAAAAAAAAGAAAAAUACUUUACGUGGAUGGAUUUCACGAGUCAAAGCAAUACGAAGAUGAAGCCAAUUAUUUACUAUUGUUCGAGAACUAAAGGAAACUAGUCGACUUUGCCACGAAGAAAGACAAGGAUGA